rnacentral:lncRNA from 9 species
CCAUGUGUUUCCAUGCAGCAGAACACAGCAUGAUGUAGGAUACAUAAAAUAUUCCACCCCGGAAAACAGUGCAUUGCUUGGUUCAUAUCAAGUCGUACCGUAAAUCAUUUUUAUGACUAUUUUAUGCUGACUCCUGCUUUGUUGUUUUUUAAGUAUUUUUUUUUUUUUCUGAUUGCAGAGGUCAUAUGUAUUCUGUGUGGAGAAUUUGGAAGAUGAAGAAAAGUACAAAUCCUAUCAACCGUAACAUCUCCUGCAUUUCAUAAAACAAUGAUAUCACUUUCAAAUGUGUAAAUGAGAAGCUUAUUUUAAGAACACAAUUUUUCUUUUCCAUUAAAUUUGCAUCUAGUAGAGUAAGCUUAGGGAGAAAUUAGCCCUUCUGAUUGUUAUUUAGCAUUAUUUUACUUUGUGUUUACUUACACACAUUUUUUUUUUUAAUGGCCACACCAGCAGCAUAUGGAAAUUCCAGGGCCAGGGGUUGAAUCUGAGCUGCAGCUGUGGAAAUGCCAGAUCCUUUUAAAACCACUGUGCCAGGCCAGGGAUUAAGCCUGAAGUGUCUCAGCAGCUAUCUGAGCCAAUGCCGUCACAUUCUUAACCCACUGGGCCACAGCGGGAACUCCUUCCUUACAUUAUUAUUACUAAAAGUAAACUCUCUUCCCGGAGCACUUAGCAUGUGUGGGGCAGAAUGCUAAGCACAGCACAUGAAUUAUCUCACUUUGUCCUCCCAAGAAACCCAGAAGAUUGGCAUGAAUUCCGUUAACUUAAUACAGGUGGGUUAGUGGAAGAAUCAGAGUGAUUAUAUAAGGCAGCCAAGGUCCCUCAGCUGGUAAUGUGGGAAACCAGGAUUCAUACCCAAUCCUCUGCAAUCAUUCCACUCCCUCAUCGGGGAAAGGAACGGAGGGAAGGAGGGAAUUUAUGGAACCUUGCCUUGUCAGUCCUGGUGCUGGUUGCGUGCCUUGCUGAUCGUGUUCAAUCUUCACAGCCCCACAAGAUUCUUGUCUCUGGAUGUCCCUCACACUAUCACAGUGGUGAAACUCUCUCACAGACUUGUCUCAUCUUUCAGCAGUAGGUAUUCAGAUCUAGGUAUGUAUACUCAAAGUUGGGGGGUAAAUGUUAAUCAGAUACACGUUGAUUUUCAAGCCAUUAAAACAGAUGACGGCUAAAUAUAUAAGGGUUAUAUGUAUUUUCACCUAGAAGUAAAACUACCAGAGCUCUAAACCAAAAGACAAGUUUGGGUCCCAGCUAUGCAUAUGGGUUUUGAGGUUUCGCGUCAGUUCAGUUUUGAAAAUCCAGACAAAGUAAUUUGUAAAUAAGUAAAAUAAUAAUUUGGUAGGUUGACUUUUUCACUUUUCAACCAGUUUUACGUUCCUUAGCUACAAUCUGUAUAUUAGCAAAUGACACAAUGAGGAGUUCUUGUUUUGGCUCAGUAGGUUAAAGACCCAACAUUGCCUCUGUGAGGAUGCAGGUUCAAUCCCUGGCUUGGCUCCUUGUGUUAAGGCAGCUUGGAUCCAGUGUUGCCAUGGCUGUGGUGUAGAUCCCAGCUGCAGCUCCAAUUUGAUCCCUGGCUUGGAAACUUUCAUAUGCCACUGGUGCAACUGUGAAAAGAAAAAGAAAAAGAAAGAAAAUAACAUAAUGAUUGGUAGCGUGAGUUUACGAAUGAUAAUAAAUCCAAGAAAGAAAGGGAGAGAGGAAGGGAGAACUUGAGGAAAGGAAGCAAGUUUCUCAUGGGGCCCCUGGGAAUGAUUGGAUGUACUUUCUUCCCCCAGUGGCUAGUUUUCAAGAUUACAGUAACUAUAAAAUUCAUUCAGUUGAAGAGGAUGAAAAUCAAUUUUCAAUUUACAAGCUUGCCAAGCAGAUUACUAAACCACUCGGGGGAUCGCUUAUUUGUUUGUGUGUAUUUAUGUUCUCAGUCAAUGAUGAAUUAAUUUUACUCGUACAUAGUUAGAUUGGAGAGGUUUUAAGUAUAAAACCAGAAGUGCAAUGCUUGUGGUAACUUUACUUCCACCAUGAGCUCUACAUAGGAUAUUUGAGGAAAAUAGAUGUAUGUUUAAAGGUUAAUAAGAAAGUUUCUUUAGUUAAAUUUUUAUUCAGUCUAGCCAAAGACAGGCAUCAGCAAAUUAUGGCCCAUAGGUCGAAUUCAGCCAGCCACCUGUUUUUAUAAGGCCCAUGAGCUAAGAAUGCUUUUUGUAUUUUUAAAUAGUUGAAAACAAUUGAAAGAAGAAUAUUAUCCCAAAUAAAUUUUACAUGAAAAUAAUAUGAAAUUCAAAUUUCAGUGUUCAUACUAAAGUAUGAACUGUGUUACAGUACCUAUUAAUCAUUGAUUAAAAGAUAAUCUACAACUGAUUUAAAAAUCUGUGUUACAGUACCUAUUAAUCAUUGAUUAAAAGAUGAUCUACAACUGAUUUAGCACCAUAAUAGCAGAGUUGAGUGGUUGAGGCAGAUAUCUUAUAGCCGCAGAAUCUAAAAUAUUUACUGUCUGGCUCUUUACAGAAAAAUUUGCUAAUGUCUGCUCUAGACCAGUCUUGUUCACAAACUACACAUGUAAUUUAAGGAAAAGACAAAGGGGAAGAAAAGCCCAGCUAUUAAAUUAUAUAACAAAGAUAAAUGGACAUCAGGCAAGUCUGUCUUAUUGGUCUUUAAAUGCCUGGCUAAGAGAUUAGAAUUUAGUGAAGGGAAUUAGAAUGAAAGAGAAUAGGCAUUACAGUAUUUACACUAUAUCUGAGGUUUAUUUCUUAUAUCUAAUGAGAUUGGAAUUGGUUUCAAUUUGAUCUGUGGAGUUGCACCCUUGUUUAUUAAAAUUUGUGCUGGCUCAUAAACAACACAGAUAGAUGAGGCGACCUUAUAACUUGUAAAGAGUGAUACAAAUGUCUAGAAUGAGGAUGUAUUUUUAAUACACCCAUCCACCAAGAACACUUAACAAGUGGUCUCGAAUUUGUCUUUUUUUUUUUUUUUUUUUUUUUUUUUUUGUCUUUUUGCCUUUUCUAGGGCUGUUCCCGCGGCAUGUGGAGGUUCCCAGGCUAGGGGUCCAAUCGGAGCUGUAUCCACCAGCCUACGCCAGAGCCACAGCAACACGGGAUCCGAGCCACAUCUGCAACCUACACCACAGCUCACGGCAACGCUGGAUUCUUAAACCCACUGAGCAAGGCCAGGGAUCAAACCACAGCCUCAUGGUUCCUAGUCAGAUUAGUUAACCACUGAGCUACGACGGGAGCUCUGUCUCUAAUUUUUUUAAUUGUGCACCAUCAACAGCAGAAUUUAUGGCAAGUAAUUCACAUUCUUUUUAAAAACACAUUUAUUGAGAUAUGAUUCAUACAGUGCACAUUUUACUCACUUAAAAUGUACAGUUCGGUGGUUUUUAGUAUAUUCACAGAUAUGUGCAACCAUCAUUACAGUCAAUUUUAGAAUGUUUUCAUCACCUAAAAAAGAAAUCCCAUAAUCAUUAAUUAUCAUCCCGUUUUCCUAUUUCCUGCAGUUCUAAAUCCUACAUCACUAGUAUACAUUGGGUCUGUACAGAUUUGCCUCUCCUGAGUGUUUCAUAUAAAUGGAAUCAUUCUUUAACUUACCAUAACGUUUUCAAGUCCCCUUCAUGUAGUAGCAUGUACCAGCACUUCAUUCCUUUUGUGGCUGAAUAAUCUUAUACUGUAUGAAUAAGCCAUAUUUUGUUUAUCUGCCCAUCAUCUGAUGGACAUUUGUAUUGCCUCCAUCUUUUGGCUUUUGGAAAUAGUACUGCUAUAAACAUUUGUGUACAAGGUUUUAUAUAGACAUGAUAUCAUUUCUCUUGGGUAUAUACUAAGUAGUGGAAUUGCUGGAUUAAAUGGUAAUUUGGUGUCAUUGUUUGAG